rnacentral:rRNA from 1 species
GAUGAACGCUAGCUACAGGCUUAACACAUGCAAGUCGAGGGGUAGCAGGGUAGCAAUACCGCUGACGACCGGCGCACGGGUGAGUAACACGUAUCCAACCUUCCCAUAACUCGGGGAUAGCCUUUCGAAAGAAAGAUUAAUACCCGAUAGUACUUUUUCAAGGCAUCUUGAGAAAGUUAAAGAUUUAUUGGUUAUGGAUGGGGAUGCGUUCCAUUAGAUAGUUGGUGAGGUAACGGCUCACCAAGUCUUCGAUGGAUAGUGGUUCUGAGAGGAAAGUCCCCCACAUUGGUACUGAGACACGGACCAAACUCCUACGGGAGGCAGCAGUGAGGAAUAUUGGUCAAUGGGCGAGAACCUGGACCAGCCAAGUAGCGUGAAGGAUGAAGGUCUUAUGGAUUGUAAACUUCUUUUAUAGUAGAAUAAAGUGAUCCACGUGUGGAUUUUUGUAUGUAUACUAUGAAUAAGGAUCGGCUAACUCCGUGCCAGCCGCCGCGGUAACAC